GACGAACGCUGGCGGCGUGCUUAACACAUGCCAGUCGAACGGAAAGGCCCUGCUUUUGUGGGGUGCUCGAGUGGCGAACGGGUGAGUAACACGUGAGUAACCUGCCCUUGACUUUGGGAUAACUUCAGGAAACUGGGGCUAAUACCGGAUAGGAGCUCCUGCUGCAUGGUGGGGGUUGGAAAGUUUCGGCGGUUGGGGAUGGACUCGCGGCUUAUCAGCUUGUUGGUGGGGUAGUGGCUUACCAAGGCUUUGACGGGUAGCCGGCCUGAGAGGGGGACCGGCCACAUUGGGACUGAGAUACGGCCCAGACUCCUACGGGAGGCAGCAGUGGGGAAUAUUGCACAAUGGGCGGAAGCCUGAUGCAGCAACGCCGCGUGCGGGAUGACGGCCUUCGGGUUGUAAACCGCUUUCGCCUGUGACGAAGCGUGAGUGACGGUAAUGGGUAAAGAAGCACCGGCUAACUACGUG
rnacentral:rRNA from 1 species